GACGAACGCUGGCGGCGUGCUUAACACAUGCAAGUCGAACGAGGUCCAUCCUUCGGGAGAAGACCUAGUGGCGAACGGGUGAGUAACACGUGAGCAACCUGCCCCGAAGACUGGGAUAACAGCGGGAAACCGCUGCUAAUACCGGAUACCCCCAUCGGACCGCAUGGCCGGAUGAGGAAAUGGAUUCCGCUUCGGGAGGGACUCGCGGCCUAUCAGCUUGUUGGUGGGGUAACGGCCCACCAAGGCGACGACGGGUAGCUGGUCUGAGAGGACGAUCAGCCACACUGGGACUGAGACACGGCCCAGACUCCUACGGGAGGCAGCAGUGGGGAAUCUUGCGCAAUGGGCGAAAGCCUGACGCAGCAACGCCGCGUGAGGGAUGAAGGCCUUCGGGUUGUAAACCUCUUUCGAGCAGGGACGAUAAUGACGGUACCUGCAGAAGAAGCUCCGGCCAACUACGUGCCAGCAGCCGCG
rnacentral:rRNA from 1 species